GCUACAGGCUUAACACAUGCAAGUCGAGGGGCACCAUGGUCUUAGCUUGCUAAGGCCGAUGGCGACCGGCGCGCGGGUGAGUAACGCGUAUCCCACCUGCCUUACACUCUUGGACAGCCUUCUGAAAGGGAGAUUAAUACAAGAUGUUAUCAUGAGUAAGCAUUUUCGCAUGAUUAAAGGUUUACCGGUGUAAGAUGGGGAUGCGUUCCAUUAGAUAGUAGGCGGGGUAACGGCCCACCUAGUCUUCCAUGGAUACGAGUUCUGACAGAAAGGUCCCCCACAUUGGAACUGAUACACCGUCCAAACUCCUACGGCAGGCACCAGUGAGGAAUAUUGGUCAAUGGACGAGAGUCUGAACCACCCAAGUAGCGUGAACGAUGAAGGUUCUAUGGAUUGUAAACUUCUUUUAUACUGUAAUAAACGAAUCCACGUGUGGAUUUUUGCAUGUACCGCAUGAAUAACGAUCGGCUAACUCCGUGCCAGCAGCCGCGGUAAUACGGAGGAUCCGAGCGUUAUCCGGAUUUAUUGGCUUUGACGGGAGCGUAGAUGGGAUGUUAAGUCACUUGUGAAAGUUUGCGGCUCAACCGUAAAAUUGCAAUUGAUACUGGCAGUCUUGAGUACAGUAGAUGUAAGCGGAAUUCGUGGUGUAGCGGAGAAAUGCUUAAAUAUCACGAACAACUCCGAUUGCGAAGGCAACUUACUAACCUGUAGCUGACAUUGAUGCUCAAAAGUGUGGGUAUCAAACAGGAUUAGAUACCCUGGUAGUCCACACGGUAAACGAUGAAUGCUCGCAGUUGGUGAUAUACAGUCUGCGGCCAAGCGAAAGCAUUAAGUAUUCCACCUGGGGAGUACGCCGGCAUCGGUGAAACUCAAAGGAAUUGACGGGGGCCCGCACAAGCGGAGGAACAUGUGGUUUAAUUCGAUGAUACGCGAGGAACCUUACCCGGGAUUAAAUUGCAGCGGAAUAUGGCGGAAACGUUAUAGCUAGCAAUAGCGGUUGUGAAGGUGCUGCAUGGUUGUCGUCAGCUCGUGCCGUGAGGUGUUGGCUUAAGUACCAUAACGAGCGCAACCCUUGCCGAUAGUUUCUAACAGGUCAUGCUGAGGACUCUGUCGGGACUGCCAUGGUAAGAUGUGAGGAAGGUGGGGAUGACGUCAAAUCAGCACGGUCCCUUACGUCCGGGGCUACACACGUGUUACAAUGGGGGGUACAGAGGGCUGCUACCACGCAAGUGGAUGCCAAUCCCAAAAACCUCUGUCAGUUCGGAUUGAAGUCUGCAACCCGACUUCAUGAAGCUGGAUUCGCUAGUAAUCGAGCAUCAGCCACGGCGCGGUGAAUACGUUCCCGGGCCUUGUACACACCGCCCGUCAAGCCAUGGGAGCCGGGGGUACCUGAAGUGCGUAAAAGCAAGGAGCGCCCUAGGGUAAAACUGGUGACUGGGGCUAAGUCAUAAC
rnacentral:rRNA from 1 species